UAUAAUGUGCUUUUGUGAUUAGAACUUCUUAGAUGUGGAUUGCAAUAUACGGAGGUGAUGAUUCUAAGUUCUUAAAUCAUGUGAGUAUCUGCUGUUUUCAAACCUCUUUCAAAGAGACUGUCCUGUGUGUUUUGCUUGAGGACAAGCAAAAGGGUAACUCUGAGGGAGUUUAUAGACCAUGGAUUUUACCCACUUUUAGCCAUGGUUUAUAAGUGUUUUAAUAUAUAUUUACUACUAUAUACAGUCUAUUUAGAGUGUUUACAGGUUCAGGUACGUUCUGGAGAAAUAUGGUGAUUUUGGAGCCUUUUGAGUGCAGAUCUG
rnacentral:lncRNA from 1 species